UCAGUAGCGCAGUGGGCAGCGCGUUAGUGUUAUAAUCUGAAGGAAGUGAGUUCGAGCCUCAACCGGAGCAA